rnacentral:piRNA from 1 species
UGGCACAUGCGCAGAUUAU